rnacentral:rRNA from 1 species
GAUGAACGCUAGCGGCAGGCUUAACACAUGCAAGUCGAGGGGCAGCAUAAUGGAUAGCAAUAUCUAUGGUGGCGACCGGCGCACGGGUGCGUAACGCGUAUGCAACCUACCUUUAACAGGGGGAUAACACUGAGAAAUUGGUACUAAUACCCCAUAAUAUCAUAGAAGGCAUCUUUUAUGGUUGAAAAUUCCGAUGGUUAGAGAUGGGCAUGCGUUGUAUUAGCUAGUUGGUGGGGUAACGGCUCACCAAGGCGACGAUACAUAGGGGGACUGAGAGGUUAACCCCCCACACUGGUACUGAGACACGGACCAGACUCCGACGGGAGGCAGCAGUGUGGAAUAUUAGUCGAUGGACGCAAGUCUGAACCAGCCAUGCCGCGUGCAGGAUGACGGCUCUAUGAGUUGUAAACUGCUUUUGAACGAGGGUAAACGCAGAUACGUGUAUCUGUCUGAAAGUAUCGUACGAAUAAGGAUCGGCUAACUCCGUG